UACAGAGGUCCCAAGCGUUGUUCGGAUUCCCUGGGCGUAAAGGGUGCGUAGGCGGUCGGAUAAGUCUGAUGUGAAAUCUUCGAGCUCAACUCGGAAACUGCAUCGGAAACUAUUCGGCUAGAGGAUUGGAGGGGAGACUGGAAUUCUCGGUGUAGCAGUGAAAUGCGUAGAUAUCGAGAGGAACACCAGUGGCGAAGGCGAGUCUCUGGACAAUUCCUGACGCUGAGGCACGAAAGCUAGGGGAGCAAACAGG
rnacentral:rRNA from 1 species